rnacentral:rRNA from 1 species
CCUACGGGUGGCAGCAGUAGGGAAUUUUCGGCAAUGGGGGGAACCCUGACCGAGCAACGCCGCGUGAACGAAGAAGUUAUUCGUAAUGUAAAGUUCUUUUAACAGGGAAGAAAGAGAAAUUUGACGGUACCUGAAGAAUAAGCCACGGCUAACUACGUGCCAGCAGCCGCGGUAAUACGUAGGUGGCAAGCGUUGUCCGGAUUUACUGGGUGUAAAGGGCGUGUAGCCGGGCUGACAAGUCAGAUGUGAAAUCCCGUGGCUCAACCACGGAACUGCAUUUGAAACUGUCGGUCUUGAGUAUCGGAGAGGCAGGCGGAAUUCCUAGUGUAGCGGUGAAAUGCGUAGAUAUUAGGAGGAACACCAGUGGCGAAGGCGGCCUGCUGGACGACAACUGACGGUGAGGCGCGAAAGCGUGGGGAGCAAACAGGAUUAGAUACCCCAGUAGUC